rnacentral:rRNA from 1 species
ACUCCUGCGGGAGGCAGCAGUGGGGAAUAUUGGACAAUGGGCGCAAGCCUGAUCCAGCCAUGCCGCGUGAGUGAUGAAGGCCCUAGGGUUGUAAAGCUCUUUCACCGGUGAAGAUAAUGACGGUAACCGGAGAAGAAGCCCCGGCUAACUUCGUGCCAGCAGCCGCGGUAAUACGAAGGGGGCUAGCGUUGUUCGGAUUUACUGGGCGUAAAGCGCACGUAGGCGGACUAUUAAGUCAGGGGUGAAAUCCCGGGGCUCAACCCCGGAACUGCCUUUGAUACUGGUAGUCUUGAGUUCGAGAGAGGUGAGUGGAAUUCCGAGUGUAGAGGUGAAAUUCGUAGAUAUUCGGAGGAACACCAGUGGCGAAGGCGGCUCACUGGCUCGAUACUGACGCUGAGGUGCGAAAGCGUGGGGAGCAAACAGGAUUAGAUACCCCUGUAGUCC